UACGAAGGGUGCAAGCGUUACUCGGAAUUACUGGGCGUAAAGCGUGCGUAGGUGGUUUGUUAAGUCUGCUGUGAAAGCCCCGGGCUCAACCUGGGAAUGGCAGUGGAUACUGGCAAGCUAGAGUGCGGUAGAGGGGUGUGGAAUUCCCGGUGUAGCGGUGAAAUGCGUAGAGAUGUGGAGGAAUACCGAUGGCGAAGGCAGCCCCUGGGCCCAAUGACUGACGCUCAUGCACGAAAGCGUGGGGAGCAAACA
rnacentral:rRNA from 1 species